GAUGAACGCUAGCUACAGGCUUAACACAUGCAAGUCGAGGGACCGGCGCACGGGUGAGUAACACGUAUCCAACCUGCCCUUUACUCGGGGAUAGCCUUUCGAAAGAAAGAUUCAUACCCGAUAUAAAGGAUGGGGAUGCGUUCCAUUAGGUUGUUGGUGAGGUAACGGCUCACCAAGCCUUCGAUGGAUAGGGGUUCUGAGAGGAAGGUGCACCACAUUGAAACAAGGACACGGACCAAACGCCGACGGGAGGGAGCAGUGAGGAAGAUUGGUGAAUGGGCGCUGACCUGAACCAGCCAAGUAGCGGGAAGGAUGAAGGCUUAUGGGUCGUAAACAGCUUAUAUAUAAGAAAAUGUAUUAUAUGAAGAAGGAUCGGCUAACUCCGUGCCAGCAGCCGCGGUAAUUC
rnacentral:rRNA from 1 species